CCCGUAAACUUUGCCAAGACAUUUAUGACAAGGACCUAUCAGGGAGUCACACUCCAGGUUCCAGAUGGAAGGUGGUGGCAUGUGCGCUGCUGUUCAUCACCUGAAGGCUCCACCAAGGUAACAAAGGGGUGGAAAGAGUUUGCACAGGAGAAUAAUUUGGAAAAAGGUGAUAUUUGCAUCUUUGAGCGAGUUAAGAAGAGCCCUAUUGAGUUGAAAGUGUUCAUAUACCGACUCACUGAAUAUGUGGCAGCACAAAAAAGUUAGCUGAAGGACAGACAAUAUAUGUCAAUGUCGGAUCUGGUUGCAAAGUAAAUUAAUCGAGGCUAAAGAUUUUCUUGGAAGGAUUCAUAAUUUUUGCCAAUUUUAUGAUUCCACAAUCUCACUUAAUAUUGUGGUAACUUUUUACCCUUAUUGUAUUUCAGAUGAGAAGCUUCGAUAUGAACCAUCUAGUGGUAGUAAUUUCAUAUGGGCAUUUACAAUAUAUAUACUGAACAAUACUUGGCUCUAGGUUAGCUUUGAUCAGUUCCC